rnacentral:rRNA from 1 species
AUACGGAGGGUGUGAGCGUUGUUCGGAAUUAUUGGGCGUAAAGAGCAUGUAGGUGGUCUGUUAAGUCUGGUGUGAAAGCCCGGGGCUCAACCCCGGAAGUGCAUUGGAUACUGGCAGACUUGAGUAUGGGAGAGGAAAGCGGAAUUCCGAGUGUAGGAGUGAAAUCCGUAGAUAUUCGGAGGAACACCAGUGGCGAAGGCGGCUUUCUGGACCAAUACUGACGCUGAGAUGCGAAAGCGUGGGGAGCGAACAGGAUUAGAUACCCCGGUAGUCC